rnacentral:tRNA from 1 species
UCCCUAGUGGCUCAGCUGGUAAAGAAUCUGCCUGCAAUGCAGAAGACCUGGGUUUGAUCCCUGGGUUGGGAA